rnacentral:rRNA from 1 species
AGCGAACGCUGGCGGCAGGCCUAACACAUGCAAGUCGAACGAACCUUUCGGGGUUAGUGGCGGACGGGGGAGUAACACGUGGGAACGUGCCUUUAGGUUCGGAAUAACUCAGGGAAACUUGUGCUAAUACCGAAUGUGCCCUUCGGGGGAAAGAUUAAUCGCCUUUAGAGCGGCCCGCGUCUGAUUAGCUAGUUGGUUGAGGUAAUGGCUCACCAAGGCGACGAUCAGUAGCUGGUCUGAGAGGAUGAUCAGCCACAUUGGGACUGAGACACGGCCCAAACUCCUACGGGAGGCAGCAGUGGGGAAUCUUGCGCAAUGGGCGAAAGCCUGACGCAGCCAUGCCGCGUGAAUGAUGAAGGUCUUAGGAUUGUAAAAUUCUUUCACCGGGGACGAUAAUGACGGUACCCGGAGAAGAAGCCCCGGCUAACUUCGU